rnacentral:lncRNA from 1 species
UAUGAUUUGAUUACAUCCAGUUGUGAUUCAUAAGUUGUGAAUUCAAUUUACUUAUCCGUUCGUAUAAAAACUUAUUUGUGUAUGUUGGUUGAGAGUGCACGCUUAAUUUUCAUGCAUGAAUUUGACGCUAGAAUAUAAGGGAGUUUCACCUAAUCGUUAUGAACUUAUAUUCACAAGUAGUGAAGGUUGCUAGUCACAAUCACGUUAAGUAAAUUCUUGGCAUAAGUUUCAUGCAAAUCAUAGUAACGAGUGCCUCGUCAAUGCUUAUGUUUUUCAUAGAACUUAAUGAUUCUUGCUUGUAUCUCUAUUAUGCAAUUCAUGUAGGAACUUGUAGGGAAUGUUUUGGGUUGUCGUAUGCAAUCAUCCAACCUAAUAACUUGUGGAAAAACUGAGGGUUAAUUAGUGCAAAUUCACGGUUAAUUUGGGGCGUUGAGUAUUCAUAGUUUAUCGAAAAGCAACUGGAAAUCGUUUUGUAUGCAAGUGUGACAUGUGUGGAGAAGAACCUCCUAGCUAGCCUUCCAUCCAUAAGUUUCAUUCAAAUUCAUUUACAAUCUGUUUUGUUUUACAAAGUUUGUUUUGUUUUCAAAUUCGUCAAGAACCAAUCUCCCAUUUAUUUCAAAGUGUUAGAUUAGUUAGUAAUCACUUUAGUUUGUGUUUUUAAGUGUCUUGAGUCAAGUCAUAACCCAAUUUUGUCCAAUUUAGUGUUAGGUGUUCAAAACUGCCCAGAAAGUGUUUUUAAGGCAGUUUUGAGUGUUUAUUUGCUGUUUUGAAUCUUUUUGUUUAUCUUAGUAUUUUAAAGUAUAGUUUUGCAUUCUUUGAGUCUAGUUUAGCGUUUUAAACUUUGUUUUUACGUUUUCAAGUCAGUUUUCAAGUGAUUUAGCAAUCCCUCCUAAUCCCCGGCCUAGAACGAUCCCUACUUACAUACUUUACUACAUUUGAUAAAAAGAGGGUUUAAUUUGUGUGCUUAUAUAUUUCGCAUCACAAUUAAGUGUGUGCUCGAGGGUAAGGAUAACUAAAAUCUGUGGGAGUAGUGAUUUUCAACAUGUCAUGUUUCAUUGGAAAUCCCUGAGUCAAAUGUUGGAAGGUUUAGGUUAUGUUUUGUUUGUUUUAUUUUGCUCGAGGACUAGCAAAAGCUAAGUGUGGGGGAAUUUGAUAGGAGCAUAUUUAUGCGACUUAGUUAGCUUGUUUUCUUGCAUUUAUGUUGUUAGUUCCUAAUUAUUUUAGUAUGUUAAGCUAUUUUCGUGUGUUUGUAGGUCCAAAGGGCUAAAGUAGCAAGAAAGUGAAAUUUGGUGCAUUUUGGAGCAGUUUUGGGCUUGGAAUGAAUAGCACAUGCUUGGAGCAAGGUGGAUGAACGAAUUUGAAGUUCAAAGGAGGCUAGGAAUGUGCAAAGAAAUGAAGGAAAUAAAUUCAAGACAAAAGAAAUCAAAGAGCCCAGCAAUAAAGAAGGAAUGUUACCCAAGUUACCUUAUUUUAUCCUAAUCCUUUCCUAAUCCUACACCACCUAAUUUCCAGCUGCAAAGAGGAUCCUUAAUUAUUUUAGGACACUUAAAUAAUGAUUCUAGAAGGCCUAAUCCCAUUCCUAAAGGGAGCCGCACCUAUUUCUUCUAGAAACCCCUUUCCCUUGCAGUGCAAGGCAUUCCCCUUUCCCUUUAGGAUCCUGCCGCAUAUCCCUUUCCCUUUCUCUUUUGAAUUCCGACAUUUAUUGAUAGGAGCAUAUUUAUGCAACUUAAUUAGCUUGUUUUCUUGCAUUUUCAUAGCAAGUUUGUGUUUAUUAUAGUGAUUUAAGCUAUUUUCGUGUGCUUGUAGGUCUAAUUGGUAAAGUUGGCAAGAAAGUGCAUUUUGAAGCAUUUCAGAGCAAUUUUGGGCUGAAUUGGAUUGCAUGCAUGUGGAGCACAAAGAAUGGAUGUUUUUGAAGAUCAAGUGAAGCUAGGAACGUGCUAAAGAGAUGGAGAAAUCAAUUCAAGACUUGGAAGAUGAAUAAUCAGCUACAAGGGCACCUAAAUCCCUUCUAGAAGGGCUAUCCCUUCUCCUAAACAUAUGCCGCACCACCCUUUCUAGAAGCUCUAGAAAUGUGGCACCCUAAACCCUUCUAGAAGUCUCAAUUUCUGCACAAAACAUUUUUUUUUCUAGAAGCCCUAGAAAGGUGGCGCCCCAAACCCUUCUAGAAACCCUAAAAUCCUCCAGAAACCCUAGUUAUUUUCCCCCUUGGAAUGGGCCAAGCCUUAUGCCUCAAACCUGAUGUGAAGAUUAACUUAACACACAAAUUUAACCCUCUUUUGACAAUUGUAGUAUAAGUAUAAGUAAGGAUCGUUCUGGACCAGGGAUUAUGAGGGCUUGCUAAUAACCUCUAAACUGACUCAAAAACAUAAAACUAAACUUAAAAACACUUAACAAGACUCACAAGACUCAAAGCAAACUUAAAAUACUCAAAACAGCUUAAAACAACCAAAUAAACUUAAACUAGACAUUAGGAAUGACUUUGGACGAAAAUUGACUUUCACUUGAAUAAAAACACUUAAAAACAUAAGCUAAAACAGAUUUGAAACACUUUGAAACAAGAAACUAAAGGGGAGGUUUUGAUUUGGAUGAAGUUGAAACAAACAAACAAGUAUGAAAAACUAGACAUAUUGUAAAAUAAAUUUGAGAAAUAAGAUGAUGGAUGGGAUAGCUAGAGGCUUUUUCUCCACACAUGACAUGUAUGCAAACAACUCGAUUUCCAGUUACUACUUCAUUGAAUUAUGAACGACAAUGCCCCAAAUUAACUGUGACAUCACUAGUUAACCCUCAGAUUUUUCUUAUUUUAUUAGAUUGGAUGACAUCAUUCGACAACCCAAAACAUUCUUCAAAAGUUCCCUACAUGACAUCAUAAUAGAGAUACAAUCAAAGAUCAUUACGUUUAACGAAAAUCAUAAGCAUUGACAAAGCACUUGCAACUAUGACAUCAUGUCACUCAUGCUAGAAUUAAACUUAACGCGAUCGUUUAUAAGCGACCUCCACUACUUAUGAAUAUAAGUUUGUAACGAUUAUGUGAAAUUUUCUUAUAUUCUAGCAUCGGAUUUAUGCAUGCCAAUUAAGUGUCGACCCUUAAUCAACAAAUACAAAUAAGUUAUCAAUCAAAUAGUUAAGCCAAUUGCAUGCACGAUUCAAGAGUUCAUAACUGGAAUUUAUCAAAUUAUAUUGCACACAUAAUCAUGGCUUUGAAAUCACCCCUAGCCAAGAGGGGUUUAGCCACUCAUAUUUACAACAAAACGAAAGGAAAUGAAUUUAAACAAUAGAAACAAAAGAAAUAAAACACCUAAACACUCCAACGAUCCAAGUUGGACAGCAAGCACGUCCAAGCACUUUCCUUUCCUUCCUUUGCUACAGCACAAGGUGUUGGUGAGUGUUUGAAGGUUUGUUUGUAUGGAGGAAUGGAUGUGAAGAUGAAUGGAUAUGUUUGGAGGAAGGUUGUAUUGAAAUGGGGAUGAAUGAUCAAGCAUAAACUUAACUAUAUGGCUGCCACACACACUCCUUUUAUAGAGGAAGUGCACGGCAAUGAGGGGAAAAAUGGUGGUGUGUGCAAUGAUUCAAGGGUGAAAAUAAAGUAAUGAUGCAAAGCAUGGGGGGUAAAAUGGAGUGGUGUUGCAGCAAUGAGUGCAUGGAGUGGUGUUGAAAUGAUUCAAAGGUGAAAGUGAAGUGAUGAUGCAAAGCAUGGGGGUAAAAUGGAGUGGUUUUGCAGCUAUGAAUGCAAGUGGGGAACAUGAAUUAUUGUGCACAUGGUAGAGAAAGGAAAGGGAGGUGCAAUGGUGCAGAAAUGAGUCAAAGGUGCAGCAAGACUCAUGAUGCACAACAUGGGAUUCCAAAUGUGGUGGAUGGUGCAUCAAUGAGUGCAUGUAAUGGAGGUAAAAGUUGUAUGAAAUCUGAUGGGUGAAGGGGACAAGAAAUGUGCAGCAAUUGAGUGCAAUGAUUCAAUGUUUUGAUGCAUGAAAUCAAAAAUAAUGAAGGAGACAAGGGUGGUGCACGACAUGGGUGGAUAAUGAGUGUAAUGGUGCAUGAAAUGAGUACAAGAAAUCUGGUGCAUGAAGGGGACAAGGGUGAUUAUGCAUGGCAUGGGUGGAAAGGUGAGUAAGUGGUGAAUCAAUGAGUGUAAGAAGGUGAAAGGAUAUUGUGCAUAGGGCAGACAAAGGAAAGGAAGUGGAAUGGUGCAGCAAAUGAGUGCAAGGAGGGAACAUGGAUGAAUGUGCACGGCAUGGAGUGAUUUAUGGUAGAAAAUAAGAAAGGAAUGGCUCCCUUGCACGGCAAGGAAGAGAAAUGGUGAAGGAUGGUAUGGCUUGGACUUUUAGGGCAGGUUUAGGACUUGUAGAAUAUGUAAUGAAAUGUCCCAAAGUAUUUAGGAACCCUUCGUGUGACUAAAUCUUUGGUAAUUUAGGAUUAGGAAAGGUAACAACAAGAUAAGGCAAGUUUGACUAGUCUUUUCUCAUUCUUAAUGGUUUCCUUGUCUUCCUUGGUCCUCAAUUUAUUUUCUUCCUUUCCUUGGCACAUUCCUAGUUUCUUUAGAUCUUUAAUUUCGUCCAACCACUUUGCGUCAUGCAUGUGAUAUCCAUUCCAUGCCCAAAACUACUCCAAAAGGCACCAAAAUGCACUUCUUUGCCUCUUUAACCCUUUGUACCUACAACCACACAAAAAUGGCUUGAAAUACUAAAUCAACUAAGAAAUAACAACAUAAAUGCACAAGAACAAGCUAACUAAGUCGCAUAAAUUUGCUCCUAUCAAAACCCUAAGGCCUAAUCCUUUGUUUCUGCUAAGUUCUAACCUUAACCUGAUUUCUUUAGGGUUUUGCCGUGCCUAUAUAUACAUAUUUUCAGUCAAAUUUCGAUCACCACCCCCCAUAUAAUUUAGAAACACAUUCAACCGCAAUACACACACCCAUUCUACAUCCUUUGCGGCACCAUUGGAGAGGAAGAGAGCUUUGCCGUGGCUACCAUUGAAGGAGGAGGACCUUGUACUGCAAGCCACCUGCAACCAUUGGAGUUCUAAGAGUCCUUUCUUCCCUCGUUUUAGUUUCAAUGCUUAUUUUAGAUUGCUUUUCAAUUGUUAUGAACAUGAGGAACUAAUUUCUUUUUGGUUAGAGGUGAAUUCGAAGCCAUGGACAUAUGUUUAAUAUGAAUUGAUUACCUUCAGUUAUUGUUUCGUAAAACAUGAAUGUGAUUUACUUAUCUAUUUGAUUGAGAACUUAUUCUUGUGUGUUGAUUAAGGAUGCAUACUUAGUUUGCAUGCAUGAAUCUAAUGCUAAAAUAUAAUGGUUUCACCUAAUAGUUACAAACUUAUAUUUACAAGUAGUGAAGGUUGCUAGUCACAAUCGUGUUAAGUAGAUUCUUGGCAAGAGUAUCAUGCAGUUCAUAGUUAUGAUUGUCAUGUCAAUGCUUAUGAUUUUCAUAGAACGUAAUGAUCUUUGAAUGUAUCUUUAUCAUGCUGUUCAUAUAGGGAACUUGAGGAGAAUAAUUUGGUUGCGAUGCGUUGUCCAUUCAAUUCAAUGAAUUUAGGGAAAUCUGAGAGUUAAUUUGUGCAUUCACGAUUAAUUUGGGGCAUUGUUAUUCAUGGUUUGAAGAAACAAUACUGGAAAUCAAUUUAUGUGCAUAUGUUUCAUGUGUGGAGAAGGACCCUCUAACUAGUUUUUCACCCUUGAAUUCAUCUUAAUCUCGUUUUAACUUACUUUGUUUGCUGCAAUUUACUUAGUUUUGUCAAAUUCGUCCAAAUACCCCCUUAGUUCUUAUUUCGUGUCUUAGUUUAGUUAAUUUUGUUCAAAUCUGUCCCCAUUUAGUAUUUUGAGUCAAGUUUAGAAUUCGUCCAAAUCACUCUUUAGUAGUUGUUUUGAGUCUUUUUAACUUAGUUUUGCUAUUUUGAGUCAAUUUGGUCAGUUUUGAGUCAUAAGAGUCUAGUUUUCUGUUUUUGAGUCUAGUUUAGUGUUUUAAAGUUUAAAUUGAGUAGAUUAGCAUCCCUUCUAAUCCCCGGCCUUAAAUGAUCUCUACUUACAUAUACUACAAUCAUAGGGUUUUAAUUUGAGAGUUGGAAUAUUUCAUAUCAUUUAUUUCUCAUUUUCCCUGUGUAUUUAGGAUCAAACCUGUUUACCAAAUUAUGUGAAGCCUUGCUUUUCUAAAACCUAUAAAUAAAGGCCCUUGUCGCAGCCUUUAGGUGAUCCAUUCACUAUUAUUCUUACUUUUAGCCAUUCUUUCAUAUAAUUCAUCACUCAAACCAUCACCCACACCUUGUGCCGCAUCAAAGAAGAAGAAGGAGGACCAUUGGACGUGCUUGCCAUUCAAGCUUGGAUUGCUGGAACAUUUUUAGGUGUAAUUCAUCUUUUGUUUCCAAUGUUUAAUUUAAGUUAUCUUUGUUUAAUUGUGAACAUGAAGAGCUAAACUCGUUUUAGCUAGAGGAAAAUUCAAAGCCAUGAACAUAUUUGCAAUAUGAAUUGAUUACUUCCAGUUGUGAUUUAAUAAAUCGUGAAUGCAAUUUACUUAACUAUUUCAUUCAGAACUUAUUCUUGUUUUGUUGAUUAAGGAUGCAUACUUAAUUUGCAUGCAUGAAUUUAAUGCUAGAAUAUAAGGGAGUUUCACCUAAUUGUUAUGAACUUAUUCAUAAGUAGUGAAGGUUGCUAGUCAUAAUCGUGUUAAGUAAAUUCCUGACAUGAGUAUCAUGUUGUUCAUAGUUAUGAAUGUCUUGUCAAUGCUUAUGAUUUUCACAAAGCUUAAUGAUCUUUGAUUGUAUCUUUGUUAUGUUGUUCAUGUAAGGAACUAUUGAAGAAUAAUUUGGUUGCCGAUGCAUUAUCCAUCCAAUUCAAUGACUUAAGGAAAAUCUGAAGGUUAAUUAAUGCUGUUCACGGUUAAUCUGGGGCGUUGAGGUUCAUGGUUUAUUGGAAAAACAACUAGAAAUCGAUUUGUAUGCUAGUGUGUCAUGUGUGGAGAAGGACCUUUAGCUAGCCAAUCACCCAUAAUUUCCCCCAAUUUCGUGUCAAAUUUGUUUAAGUCUUUAAUCUACUUGUUUUUACUUUAAAUUCGUCAAAAACCAAAUCCCCUUUACUUUGUUGUGUCAAAUUAGUUAGAAUCUGUCCAAACUUUGUUUUUAAGUGUUUUGAGUCAAGUUAAAAUCAAUUUUCGUCCAAAUCACCCUUUAGUGUCUAGUUUGAGUCUAUUUGAUUAUUUUGUGUUGUUUUGAGUCUCUUUAGUUUGUUUCGAGUUCUUUGAGUCUAGUUAAGUGUUUUCAAGCCUAGUUUUAUGUUUUUGAGUCAGUUUUAAGUAGAUUUGCAAUCCCUCCUAAUCCUCGGCCUAGAACAAUCCCUACUUACAUUUUUACUACAAUUGUCAAUAAGAGGGUUUAAUUUGAGUGCUAAUUUAUAUCACAUCAACCUGCAA